GGGGAUGUGGCUCAGUGGUAAAGUGCUUGCCUAGCAAGUGUGAGGCACUGAGUUCAAUCCCCAGCAUCACCA
rnacentral:tRNA from 1 species